UUACGUUGACCCACGGGAACGACAUUCAUUACCCACACAGACUUUCUAGCUUCCAAAAGGGCAGUAUUUAAACCUCCAUAAUGAGCAUUCAUGUCCAUCACAUUUCGAACCAUAUUGUAUGGAGGCAUUGGGUCUUCAUCACCAGGUCUCUUUGGAUGGUCAGAGAAAAUCAAGGGAGAAAGUAAUGACCAAUAAUUUCUUAAAGCAGAUUUCCAGUACUCCAAGUCCUCAAAAAAAUCUUCAGGAUUUAUUCCUGUAAUGAAAUUGAAUAUAAUUAUAUAAACUGAAGAUGGUAGGGUCUACCAAGCAUGGGUAUUACACAUCAUAUGGCUUCAAACUACUUUGUUACAUACCAUGGAUCACAAGCUCACCAGAACUCAACAAACCAGAAGACCUGUUCUGAAUUGGAAUCCAGCGCUUGGUACCAGUACCACUUAUACACUGUGCAAGUGGUUUAUAGUAAGAUUGGCCAUCAUCCCCGUUGCAAAGGGGGUAAGUCUGCUUACUAUAAUUACAAACAAUUUUUUUGACAGCAUUAGUACAAAUAUAAUUAAAAUAUGAUGGUUGAAUAAAAGUAACUCAGAAACAAAGACAGAUUAAGAGCAGAGCACCCGUGAGAUUGAAAGAUAUAUAUUGAUUAAUAACAAGUAACCACUCUCACCUAGAGUAGCAUUUAGCAUCUGUGGUUUUCUGCCAGAUGAAAGUUUCGUCUUGCUGUGCCAGAAGAUUCCAGCAAAGUUUUGGCGUAAAUUCUUCAAGAGGAGUUGCUAUGGAUCCCUUGCUUCCUUGCUGCCUCCUUCUGGGUGAGGUUAAAACAAAGUACCCUCCAGGUUUGAGGACUCUAUCAACUUCAACAAGAAACAUUCCAUCUGACAAGAGUAAUACAUAGUUAGCAACAAAAGCAGACAAGAACAUCCCUGUUCUAGAAUUCAGUGCCUUGUAGUUUUAUCAUAGACUGAUUGACCUUGAUCUUCAUUUGAGCAUACACGUCAACUAUAAAUCUAGCAAGAAAGUUGGAUUCACAUAAAAUGUGAUUCAGUUUUACGAAAAGAAUAAACUUAAAUCUACAAUCACAUAAAGAAAAACAAAAANCCUUAUGACUUGAGCUAUAACCGAUGAAGACACACUUGUGAGACCUAAAUUGGAGCUUAUUGGUGUUGUAAGGUUUAAGAUAGGGAAAGCAGGAGCAACCAAACACCUUAAGAUAAGUAUAAUUUGGGAUUUCUUUGUAUAGAACUUGAUAUGGGGACUGCAUUUAUAAAGUAGGAGUUGGGAGCCUAUUUAUAAGAUAUGUUGCUGACUCAAAUGCAGACCACCAAUAUGUGAGAGGAAGUGAGGCUUGACUAAGAAGAGUAAGACCUGUAUCAACCACAUGUUGAUGUUUUCUCUCUGCUUUUCCAUUUUGAGAGUGUAUGUGAGGACAUGGAUGCUGGAAUUUGACACCUAAGGACUGUAGAAAAGGAACAAGUUUCCUAUACUCCCCACCCCAAUCUGACUGAAAAGCAUGAAUAGUUGUUUCAAACUGACAUUGAACCAUUUUAAAGAAUUGUUGAACCACUGUAUAAGCUUCAGAUUUUGCUGUCAAGGGAAAAAUCCAAGUAAACCUACUGAAGUCAUCUAAGAAAUGAAUAUAGUACCUGAAUCCUUGAGGUGAAGCUAUAGAAGUAGGUCCCCACAAAUCUGAAUGGAUGAGUUGAAACGGUUUGGUUGUUUUAAGAGUUUGGGAAAUAUGUGGUUUUUGAUGUAUCUUACCUAUGCUACAAGCAUCACAGAACAUAGAGGCAGAUUUAUCAGCAGAUAUAUUCAUCAAUUUAAGAACAUGAGUUAAGAUAGCAGAAUUUGGAUGUCCUAAUUUCUGAUGCCAUAUGUCAAUUUUAUUAACUUGUGCAGAGGUAGUACAAGUUGUUGAUACAUUGUUGGAACUAUUACAAGAGAUAGGUACAGAACAAUUAAAGGCUGAAACAGUAGGAGAACUAGUAUGAGUCAUAGCUGUGCUAUCAGCGGUUUUAUUUGAAACAUAGGCAUUAGAAACUAAAGAAGAAGAAGAAAUAUCUGACAUUGAGUGAGUGCUAGGCUUGAGACAUAGCUGAGACAGAUCCAUCUUGUAGAGCCCCUUGUGCAGCUUGCCCCGAAGCAGAGUUUGAAGAGAAUUCUUGUCCUUCACAAGACAACAGUUAUGAUGAAAUUCAAAAAUAACAUUGUUGUCUUUAGUGAACUGUGAGAUGCUUAUGAGAUUUUUAGUGAUUUGUGGAACAAAUAGAAUAUGAUUAAGAAGCAAAGAAGAAGAUGAAGGAGAAGAGAUAGUACUAGAACCAAUGGAGUUGAUAGGAAUAGUAUUACCAUUACCAACUGUAAGAGCUUCAUUUCCAGCAUAGGGUGAAUUGACUUGCAAGUUCUGCAUAGAGUUGGUAAUAUGAUUGGUUGCUCCACUAUCAACAUACCAGCCUUCAUCUUCAUCAUAGUCAUAUUCUUGUGAGGACUGAACAUCUGUAACAUAAGCUUGUGGAUUAGCAGAAGUAGCAAUAGAAGAAUCAGGUCCAGUGAAGUGGAUAUCAAACCGCUUGUAGCACUUAAGCGCUACAUGACCAGGGCGAGAGCAUAGUUGACAAACUACAGAUGAUUUGCUGUUUUUGAAUAGAGAUCCUCGACCAAUCAUGCCUCGACCGCGAGAGGAACCUCUACCACGCUGAGCAUAGUGUGCCAUUGGAUCAGUGAUGGAGAAGGAGAAUUGUUGUUGAAGGCGAGCUUCAUGUGAUUGCAAAGCAUAUUGUAACUCCUGAAGAUUUGGUGGAUCGGCUCGGUGAAGGAGAUUAACAACUACUGCUUCAUAUUCAGCCCCAAAACCACUCAGAAUACGCUCACUGAGUUCAGCAUCUGAGAUUCCACUUCCAACAGCACUCAAUUGAUCUGCUAAGCCACGCAUUUUUAGAAAGUACUCAUCCACAGUGAGCGAGCCUUUCUUUUGUGAAAGCAAUUGAUUUUUCAAUUGAAGAGCCCUAGCUCUGGACUGUGACUGAAAUAAUUGCUCCAGAGUGUUCCAGACUUCACACGCAUUUGUGCAGCGAACAACAUAACCCAUCAUUGACUCGCUAAUAGAGGAUAGUAACCAGCUCAUAAGGAAUUGAUCUUUCCUCAUCCAUUGAUUGUAGUCUGGAUUUGGAAUAGACCGUGUGAUUGUGGAAGAAGAUGGAAGCAACGGAGAUGGCGAUGUGGCGGUGGAGGAGAUGAAAUUUUCGAGACUAUGAGCUCGAAUUGUAGUUAGGACUUGGAUGCGCCAAAACGCGUAGUUAUUGCGAUCGAGCCGCAGCAAUAGAGGAUGAAGAUUAGGAAGAUUAUUGGAAUUCGCGGAAGCAGCCAUGGAAAAGAACUAAGGAUCGAAGAAUUUUGGAGUGUAAUCAACAAAAAAAUAACUGCAGAUUUGAGAUAGAAACGCAAAUCUGAAUGUGAUACUACUCCAAAAGAAGACUUGCUCUGGAUACCAUGUUAAUGGAAACUAAACCAGAGAGUUUUGAGAGAAUAUUUCUGAUAUUUCAUUGAUGAAUGAAAACUGAAUACAUGAAAAGGUUACAACUCAAUAUAUAUCUACUUCUAGUCUAUAGAUACAAGAAUAGAUACAAGUGAGAUGGUUAUGCUAAGCUAACUCCUUAACCACUUUUGUAACUGUCUUUAGCUGGCUCUAUUUAGUAGUAAGGAGACUGACGUGGCAUGCACACUCUAAUAGAGAUUGAGUUAAAUAUGCAUAAUAUUUCUCUCACCCUCUAUUAUCUUGUCUUUGUGAUAGGAUGAUAGUAAAAAUGGCUGUGAUGAUAAGCUCAAACAAAGGCUGGCUCUUCCCUGGUGACUUAAUGAUCAUUGUGCCAAAGGUGGAAUGUGGAGUGUUGGCCCAAUGCUCAUUAAUUCCCUUAAGCCCAAACCCAAGCCCAAAAUCCCUAAGCCUCUUUUACCCUAAGUCCAAAUCAGUCUCACCCUAUUUCACUCUCUCUCAUCCUCCGCCACUCUCACCUCUCUCCCCCCCCCCGAGACCCUUCCUCUCCCCCGACCUCUGAUCUCCUGAUCUCUCGAGCUUCUCCCACCAUUAAUUGCUUACCCCUCCUUCCCGAUACCUCCAUUUACCUCUCUGAUCAAUCCCCAUCUUGGUUAUAAAGCACUCGAUUGUGGGAAGUUCCGUUUAAGACGUUCACAACCUUGAAGGCUCUGCUAUUCCUUCUGUGUUUUCCGGUCUGAUCUCCGGUGUUGUGGCUGUGAGGAGCGGGCUUCAUGCUAUUGAGAGCAUUAUCAUCGGAUUUUUGGUGAUAUUGCUGAGUUCCCUGUGUCGCCGGAGUCCUGUCCAUCGGAUUCCUGAGUUUAGGCGGCUGGGCUUGACUGAGUUGGGCUCCGAUCUGAGUUCCUCUUCCACCUUUGAGCCUUGGUCCUUGAGCUGCCGGAGUGUGUAGUGCCUAAGUGGGAAAAUCUGAGCCUCUGUGUCCGAAAGGGCACAAUUUUCCCACUUGACUUACAUCUUUUCUCUCCUGUUUUCUUUUCUUUCUUUUUCUCCUUUUCUGUUUUACUUGCUUGUGUUCUCUGUGUUUCUGCAGGUUCAGAAAACUGAGGAAGAAGAAGGAGAAGCAGAAACAAGAAGAGGGAAGAACUAGAAGAAGGCAAGCUGAUAAGUCCAAGUAGAAGAUACAAGUGCUUGAGCAUGAAGUGGGGAAGACAGGAGGUUCGGGAACCAAGUGGUGUAACCCUGGCUAGGCACAGAUACCCAACAAUAUGCAUGAUGCAAAUUUUCAUUAUCUACUCCCUCCGUCCGCCAAAAUUAUGUAAAAUUGCUUGGGCACGAGAUUUAAUAAAAUUGGUGAUGAUUUUGAUGUAGUGGAGAAAGGGUCCCACCACUUUAUGAGAUAUGUGGUUGAGAUUGAAUUUUGAGUGGGUUUUUUAUAAAUAAAGAGUGUUAGUAAGGAUAAAAUAAUAAAGAGGAUGGUGGGACCAUUGCCAUAAAAGGAAAGUGACAUAAUCUUGGCGGACGCCAAAUAUAGUAAUUUUUACAUAAUCUUGGCGGACGGAGGGAGUAAUAAUUUUUAAAUUUAUUUAAUAACUAUAAUAUCAUUACACUUGUAUAAAUUGAAAAAUUGAUGCGAAUUAUUAUAUUUUAUUCUUAAAACAUAUUUGUAUUUUUUUUAUUAUUAAUUAAUUUAUUUAAAUUAAUAUUUUAAUUUCAAUGUUUGUCGUGCAUCGCACGAUUGAGCGUACCCUAGUUAUAAUUAUAAAUGUCAGUUUAACAUAAGUUUUAAAGUGAAACUUGAUUCGCGUCACUGGUAAGAGCGAUACAAUCAAUCUCACAAACUUGGACGGUAAUGACUCGAAACCGAUUCAAUUGAUUUAUAACCCAAGCUCCCAAACCCAACAAGCAAGAAAGGCCACAAAAAGAAGUCAAAAUCUAGAACAUAAAAUUGCAAUAUCUCUUACAUUUUGCACUCGAUCGGUUGUAGCAAUCACUGGAGAAAUACAAACACAAUUCAAUUACACAAAUAAUUAAUUAAUAAAUAUAAAAACCACAAAGAUCGACUUGAAUGAAUUGCUACAAUCUGUCUGUCUGUCUCCUUUAGAGUGGGAAAAAUCUUCUUUUCCUUUUGAACUGCAGCAGCAAACAUUAGUCUUAUAUCUACAACCUCCAAAAUUUCUCAUCUCUUGAAUGAAUUACAUUUGAUCUCCAGAAAAACGUGUCGGAAACCACAUAUACUUCCUCGUUGCUCUAACUACAUCAUCACCAUUACUGAAAUGUGAUUUCAACUUCAGUGUCAAAACUCAGACAGAGUGUGUGCUCGAUCCAACGAGCGGAGUGUCGUAGAGAUGGUGAGAUCUUCCAUACAAAGAAACCUCAUUUUCUCAGAAAUGGUUUCUGGCAUACUAGUAGCCGCUGCUCGCUGCCAUCUUGAAGAUCGAUGACACGGGCUUCCCAUCGGAACUGUGUCACGAGAGUUCGUGCUAUCUCUAUUUGACCAACCUUAUCAGAAAUUAUAAUCCACCCCUGCCAGCAAACAAUGUUCAAGAAAAUCAAAAUUUUGUAGUCUUAUCAAAUGAGAAUAAUAAGCAUGAGAGAAAUUACCUCAGGCCGAAGAAUGCGGUCCAUUUCGAAAAUUAAAUCAAGCAUACUGCAUCUCUCUGAAGCGAGAUGUGAUAAAAGUCCAUUGGCGUGAAGCAUGUCAUAUGUGCGAGGGUAUGUGGGGAAAGGUUCACACCUGCAUCAUAAGAAACAUAAUUUAAGCGUAAAAUUUGAGGAUAUGGAACUUUCAGUCGCAGUCGUAGACAGAGACGGGGACAAUCAUUAUUGUCAAUAUCUCAAAUCAAGAAAUUUGGUAAGGCAAAAAAGAUCCAUCAAACUGAACAUAUCUAUAGUAGAGACUCCAGAAUUAAUUUUUGUUACUGCAUAAAUAUACAUAAGGGAAGAGCAUACAGAAUUAACAUCUUACCAGUUAUGCAAGACACCCGCAAAACCUUGAUCAAGAAUGAUAGGAAGUGUGUUACGUUGACCCACGGGAACGACAUUCAUUACCCACACAGACUUUCUAGCUUCCAAAAGGGCAGUAUUUAAACCUCCAUAAUGAGCAUUCAUGUCCAUCACAUUUCGAACCAUAUUGUAUGGAGGCAUUGGGUCUUCAUCACCAGGUCUCUUUGGAUGGUCAGAGAAAAUCAAGGGAGAAAGUAAUGACCAAUAAUUUCUUAAAGCAGAUUUCCAGUACUCCAAGUCCUCAAAAAAAUCUUCAGGAUUUAUUCC
rnacentral:lncRNA from 1 species